rnacentral:rRNA from 1 species
AACGAACGCUGGCGGCAGGCUUAACACAUGCAAGUCGAACGAGCUGGGACCUUCGGGUCCCGAUGCUAGUGGCGCACGGGUGAGUAACACGUGGGAACGUACCCUUUAGUACGGAAUAACUGAGGGAAACUUCAGCUAAUACCGUAUGACUCCUUCGGGAGAAAGAUUUAUCGCUAAAGGAUCGGCCCGCGUCUGAUUAGGUAGUUGGUGAGGUAAAUGGCUCACCAAGCCUACGAUCAGUAGCUGGUCUGAGAGGAUGAUCAGCCACACUGGGACUGAGACACGGCCCAGACUCCUACGGGAGGCAGCAGUGGGAAUAUGGACAAUGGGGGCAACCCUGAUCCAGCCAUGCCGCGUGAGUGAAGAAGGCCUUCGGGUUGUAAAG